CCACUAUUCACGUGAAUAAUGGCUGCCCAGCUUCCUCCGCCCCUCUCGCCAUGGCAAAGGGCAAAUCGGUGGAAAGUGCUCUUACAAACUCCAAUCUCUAAUUCGUUCUUUAAUCCCAAAUGCUCUCUCGGAUCUCUUCUUUCUCAGACUUUGCAAAUUUCUCUCUCUCUCUCUCUCUCUCUCUCAUCAAAUCCCAUCGAAACCCUCCCUCUCUUUCUCUGGCUUCUUCUCUGUCUCCCUCUCUCACAAUCUUCUCUCUCACUGGAAGACAAUUGCUCGAGGCCAAUUGCUUCGAAGGUGAAGGCUGAGUGACAGUUCCCAAGCUCUUAAUAAAGAUGAGUUACUUCAAAUGAUAUUGUCAUUCUUUAUGAUAGUGAUAGGUGUUGAGGCCCAAAAAAUCCACGAUUCAGCCCAAAUAAAUUCUUGGCUCAAUGCGAUACCUUACCGAGAAGAAACCCGAUUUGGGCACGCGAAAGUUCAUCAUAUGCGCUUGCACACUGUUGAGGCCCAAAAAAGUCACAGGAAGCCCAAAGACAUUUAAGGCCCAAAAUAACAUAUAAUGUCGGUCAUGCAUUAAUUCAAGUUGUAUUUUGGGAUUUAAUUCAUUAAAUAAAUAUAGAAAUAGCGUACAUGCCAUGCCGAUCACCUAUCAAGCGCACAUGAACCCAAGUCAUGUGGUUUACGGGGCUUGCAUGAGGGAUUGUGGUGUGGAAGGUUACGGAGGUCCACAAGGCCUAAGGAAGCUCUCGGAUAAUGGAGACUUUGGGCUAGCUACUUGGGAACACCAAAGUUCAAGACCAUUACUUAGAGUUCUCCAAUGUGGGUGAGCAAAUAAGAUAUUUUUCAAGCACUUCCUUUUACCCAUAGGAAAUAGUCAUUUUCUAAAUACCUAGCUUUACCUACUGGAAACAAGCAAUUUACAGUGCUUCUUUUUACCCAUAGGAAAUAAUCAGUUUAUGGUACCUAGCUUUAUAUGCGAGAAAAUAGUAUGCCCCAGUGCUCCCUUUUAACCACUGAAAAUAUGCUGGUUCCAGCACCUUCCUUUACCUAUUAGAAAUAAAGGAAAAC